rnacentral:rRNA from 1 species
UACGUAGGGGGCGAGCGUUGUCCGAAGUUACUGGGCGUAAAGCGCGCGUAGGCGGACUCUUAAGUGAGGGGUGAAAGGUUCAGGGCUUAACCCGAACACUGCCUUUCAUACUGGGAGUCUUGAGUGCGGGAGAGGCGAGUGGAAUGGUCGGUGUAGCGGUGAAAUGCGUAGAUAUCGAUCGGAACACCCAUGGCGAAGGCAGCUCGCUGGCCUGCAACUGACGCUGAGGUGCGAAAGCGUGGGGAGCAAACAGG